UACAGAGGUCCCAAGCGUUUGUUCGGAUUCACUGGGCGUAAAGGGUGCGUAGGUGGUUGGGCAAGUCUGAUGUGAAAUCUCCGGGCUUAACCCGGAAAUGGCAUUGGAAACUGCCCGGCUAGAGUGUUGGAGGGGGGACUGGAAUUCUCGGUGUAGCAGUGAAAUGCGUAGAUAUCGAGAGGAACACCAGUGGCGAAGGCGAGUCCCUGGACAACUACUGACACUGAGGCACGAAAGCUAGGGGAGCAAACAGG
rnacentral:rRNA from 1 species